ensembl:lncRNA
CCCCCAUGGGUCUACAGGUGUGUGUUUGCGCGUAGCUACACAGAAGGACGGAUUGACUCAUAUCGAGACUGUGAGGAGCUGACGAUGAGCAAAAACGAGAAAACACCCCAGGAAGAACAUGGAAGCUAAUGGAGAUCCAAAAGAAAAAACAAAAUAUUCAGUUGAAAAUAGCAAAAAUCAGUCUUGCAAUCUGGCCACCUGGUUUAACGAAGAACAUCUCAUGAAUUAUUCCACCGGACUACACUUGGAAUCUCCCGCCUUGCUCUCCAAAUCCUUGCUCGCAUCUUGCGUCUCUUUUAAAACUUUAUUUCCUCCACUUUUCUUCACCUCUAAUCCCCAUUAGCCUCAUUUUCAGCAAUGGACCGAAUACCUCUACCAGUGUUUUUGUUAAAAAUGACUAAAAGUUUCCUGUUUACCAUUUUGGGUGUGCCGUCUGAGAUCUUCCAUCGCUGGCACAUACACAAAAGCCGAACGAACGGCUCACAACAGUCUAUAAAAGUGUUAACCCCGAGCAGACAAAGAGAAAUGGAGUGUGUAGCAGAGAAGAGAGAAAUCAUAAGUGUCUCGGAGAUUUACUCGGUGUGUGUGUUUGGUCAGCUCUCAGCAGACCUGUUUGAUGUGAAUCUCCGAUCGGGUUUCUUUUCAUGUACACACAAAUGCAGCUGGCACACACACUCGUGCAUCACUGCGGCUUUGAAGGCAGCAGAUGCGGAGUUCUGACGGAGGGCAGGUGUGUAGCCUGUCUCUCUCGCUCUCUGUCUCUGUCUCUCUCUGUCGGUCCCGGGGCAGGUCACUGUAAAGGUCAGCGGGCCGGUGAUGGAAAGGGACAGCAGUGUCUGUUGCCGUGGGGACGGACCAGACACAUUAUCAGGUUAAUGCCACACACUGGAAAGCGCGACCUCGCCAGCAUCACACACACACA